rnacentral:rRNA from 1 species
GCGGCAACAGCUCAAAUUUGAAAUCUGGCUCUUUCAGGGUCCGAGUUGUAAUUUGCAGAGGGCGCUUUGGCGUUGGCAGCGGUCCAAGUUCUUUGGAACAGGACGUCACAGAGGGUGAGAAUCCCGUACGUGGUCGCUAGCCUUCGCCGUGUAAAGCCCCUUCGACGAGUCGAGUUGUUUGGGAAUGCAGCUCUAAAUGGGAGGUAAAUUUCUUCUAAAGCUAAAUACUGGCCAGAGACCGAUAGCGCACAAGUAGAGUGAUCGAAAGAUGAAAAGCACUUUGGAAAGAGAGUCAAAUAGCACGUGAAAUUGUUGAAAGGGAAGCGCUUGCAGCCAGACUUGCCUGUAGUUGCUUAUCUGGACUUUUGUCCGGUGCACUCUUCUGCGGGCAGGCCAGCAUCAGUUUGGGCGGUUGGAUAAAGGUCUCUGUCAUGUACCUCCUUUCGGGGAGGCCUUAUAGGGGAGACGACAUGCAACCAGCCUGGACUGAGGUCCGCGCAUCUGCUAGGAUGCUGGCGUAAUGGCUGUAAGCGGCCCGUCUUGAAACACGGACCAAGGAGUCUAACAUCUAUGCGAGUGUUUGGGUGUCAAGCCCAGACGCGUAAUGAAAGUGAACGGAGGUGGGAACCCUUUGGGUGCACCAUCGACCGAUCCUGAUGUCUUCGGAUGGAUUUGAGUAAGAGCAUGGCUGUUGGGACCCGAAAGAUGGUGAACUAUGCUUGAAUAGGGUGAAGCCAGAGGAAACUCUGGUGGAGGCUCGCAGCGGUUCUGACGUGCAAAUCGAUCGUCAAA